GCUUGACUGGAACUCAGGCGAACAUCCCGAGAUGGUUUGAAAUAGAUUCAAACGUUGUGUGGAUGUGGUUCAGAUCAAAUGACCACAAGAAUCCUACAUCGCAUGGAUUCAGUGCUAUUAUAAGGCCUACGUGUGAUCAAGAUAUAAACACACCGUCAUACAUCGACACGAGAGGUUCUGGUGUAUCACUAUUAAGCGGGGUUUCUUACACCAUAGCCUCACCCAAUUCCCCUCAGAACCAUCCUCCUUCCUUGAGUAGGAUCUGGCUUAUUAAACUCCCUCAACCUGCUUGUCAACUUACCAUCGAUUUCGACAAAUUUACAACAAGAUCGGUAGAU